UACGUAGGGGGCAAGCGUUGUCCGGAUUUAUUGGGCGUAAAGAGCGUGUAGGCGGUUUUACAGGUCCGUUGUGAAAACUCGAGGCUCAACCUCGAGACGCCGGUGGAAACCGUAAGGCUAGAGUCCGGAAGAGGAGAGUGGAAUUCCUGGUGUAGCGGUGAAAUGCGCAGAUAUCAGGAAGAACACCCGUGGCGAAGGCGGCUCUCUGGGACGGUACUGACGCUGAGACGCGAAAGCGUGGGGAGCGAACAGG
rnacentral:rRNA from 1 species